UCGGGAACAGCACGACCGCAAAUCUGACACGCUGUGGGUUUCCACAGCUUGAGAUUGCGGCCGUGU
rnacentral:ncRNA from 1 species